AAGUAGUUAUUAUCCGUUAUUAUUAAUCUGUGGGAAAUAACAAUUACAAUUAUUAUGCUAAUUGUACUUCAUAAAAUGAAUUUCCUCUGAGUGAGCUUAAUCAAUAACUAAUAACCGCGAUGUAUAUAAUAACAACAUAUUUUACACAGGAAUUGCAAUAGAUGUAAAAGUAUCAAGAUCCUCCGUUACUCCAGUAGGUGAGGGCAUCGUUAUCAAAUGACACAAGAAGAGACCAUUUUAUCCCAAGGCUCGACAAGAGGCACGAGAAACUUCUACCUGAUUGUGUUUAAAUUUUAUGGCCGCAGAUUCUUUCCUCACUAUUUACAACAAUCCAGGUUUUUUAACAGUAACGCUUCGAGGCUCA